GUCGCAUACAAUACGGCACACACGACGACAAGAAGCAUUGUUGAACGGACAAUCGGCCAACUCAAGCGGAGGUUCCAUUGCCUUCACGCUGAGCUCCGAAUGGCUCCAGAACGGUGCUGCGACAUCAUUGUCGCGUGCUGUGCCCUCCACAACCUGGCCUAGAGGUACCCCUGCAGGACACCCGUGGCCGCCAUCCCCUCUGAGGUUCCCGUUGAGCCCGUAGCAGCCAACCGUGCUGAGAGCAACGAGGCCCGAGACUUUAUUGUCAACCAUUUCUUCGGCUAAGUAUCCUGCUGUCGCUCGGCCCUUCUCUGGUACUGCUGUGCAGCCUCACGGGUCCAGCGCUGGUUGUGCUGCACAACAGGAGAGGCCAGUGUUCUCUGUGCUGCGUCGUCUUCAACUGUACUGCUGCCAGAUGACGAGGGUGGCGGCGUGGUCACCCUUUCCGUGCAGCUGCUGUAGUGACACGCAUGACCAGGAAAUUGUUUGAGGUUAAAGGGAUACUACAACAAAAUUUCGGGUUUCAUUUUUUGGUCUAUAUGUGUUCGAAGGAGCAGUAUCACAUCGAACACAACAAUAUCUUGUUAAAAAAGUCACGAAAAGGAAUUUUAAUAUGAAUUAAGCGAUUGGCAAAGAGCACCAGGUGGAUGUCGCUAACGCCUCGUUUGUAAUGCCCGUCUAAGAACCUUGACAGCUAGUGACGGUAACUGUCUCGCCUCCGGCUACC